rnacentral:rRNA from 1 species
CGCAGUAGGAUAGGCGAAGCGUGCGAUUGGAUUGCACGUCUAAGCAGUAAGGCUGAGUAUUAGGCAAAUCCGGUACUCAUUAAGGCUGAGCUGUGAUGGGGAGAAGACAUUGUGUCUUCGAGUCGUUGAUUUCACACUGCCGAGAAAAGCCUCUAGAUAGAAAAUAGGUGCCCGUACCGCAAACCGACACAGGUAGUCAAGAUGAGAAUUCUAAGGUGAGCGAGCGAACUCUCGUUAAGGAACUCGGCAAAAUGACCCCGUAACUUCGGGAGAAGGGGUGCUCUUUAGGGUUAACGCCCAGAAGAGCCGCAGUGAAUAGGCCCAAGCGACUGUUUAUCAAAAACACAGGUCUCUGCUAAACCGUAAGGUGAUGUAUAGGGGCUGACGCCUGCCCGGUGCUGGAAGGUUAAGAGGAGUGGUUAGCUUCUGCGAAGCUACGAAUCGAAGCCCCAGUAAACGGCGGCCGUAACUAUAACGGUCCUAAGGUAGCGAAAUUCCUUGUCGGGUAAGUUCCGACCCGCACGAAAGGCGUAACGAUUUGGGCACUGUCUCAACGAGAGACUCGGUGAAAUCAUAGUACCUGUGAAGAUGCAGGUUACCCGCGACAGGACGGAAAGACCCCGUGGAGCUUUACUGUAGCCUGAUAUUGAAAUUCGGCACAGCUUGUACAGGAUAGGUAGGAGCCUUUGAAACGUGAGCGCUAGCUUACGUGG